GUCUAGACUCCGGAAGCAUUUAUAACUGGUGCGCACAACACCACUCCACUUCUCUCCUUGUGUUUCUCAGCAAAUAACUAUUACAUCUUAUGCUGUUCGUGGCAUCGUUGUUUCACCCUUUCAAAUGUCAAUAAACCUCGCCUCCAUCAGUCAACCUGGUGUUCAGAGUUUUGAUGAGCGGAAGGUGUUGAACUUACUGCCUUCGUGUACAAGUGUGCUUAAGGAAGGCAGGCUACUGUAGGUCCGUAAUACCAUCAAAAGGUUCAGAGAAUCUGGAGAAAUCACUGCACGUAAGCGAUGGACCUUCGUUUCCUCAGGCGGUACUGCAUCAAAAAGCAACAUCAGUGUGUAAAGGAUAUCACCACAUGGGCUCAGGAACACAUUUAUAAAACCACUGUCAGUAACUACAGUUGGUCGCUACAUAUGUAAGUGCAACUCAAAACUCUACUACGCAAAGCCAAAGCCAUUUAUCAACGAGACCCAGAAACGCAGCGGGCUAAACUGGGCCCGAGCUCAGCUAAGAUGGACUGAUGCAAAGAGGAAAAGUGUUCUGAGGUCUGACGAGUCCACAUUUCAAAUUGUUUUUUAGAAACGGUGAAUGUCGUGUCCUCCGAACCAAAGAGGAAAAGAACCAUCAGGACUGUUCUAGGUGCAAAGUUGAAAAGCCAGCAUCUGUGAUGGAAUGGGGGUGUAUCAGUGCCCAAGGCAUAGGUAACUUACACAUCUGUGAAAGCACCAUUAAUGCUGAAAGGUACAUACAGGUUUUGGAGCAACAUAUGUUGCCAUCCAAGCAACAUUAUCAUGGACAUCCUUGCUUAUUUCAGCAAGACAAUGCCAAUUCACCUGUUAUAACAGCGUGGCUUCAUAGUAAAAUAAUGCGAGUACUAGACUGGCUUGCCUGCAGUCCAGACCUGUCUCCCAUUGAAAAUGUGUGCCACAUCAUGAAGCCUAAAAUACCACAACGGAGACCACGGACUUAACUUAAACUGUACAUAAAACAAGAAUGGGAAAGAAUUCUACCUGAAAAACUUUUAAAAUGUGUCUCCUUAGUUCCCAAAGGUUUCUUGAGUGUUGUUAAAAGAAAAGGUGAUAAACACAGUGGUGAACAUGCCCUUUCCCAUUACUUUGGCACGUGUUGCAGCCAUGAAAUUCUAAGUUAAUUAUUAUUUGCGAAAAAAAUAAAGUUUAUGAGUUUAAACAUCA